GCCAUAGAUGAGGUGUACCAUCUGUGGUGUCUGGCGGGGGGGGACCUGGAGAAAGAGCUCACCAACAAGGAGAUUAUACAGGCCAAACCUCCAAUCUGCACAUUGCCCAAUUUUGUCCUGGAAGACGGGGAAUCAUUUGGCCAGGGAAGAGACCGGAGUUUCUUGCUUGACGACACAACAGUGACCCUGUCUCUGUGCCAACUCAGAAACAAACUGAAGGAUGUAUCAGGAGAAGCCUAUUACCCUCUACUGGAAGACGAACAGUCAAGUCUGCCCCAGUCCACCAGCAGCAAUGAGCUGUCGGCCACCGUCACGCUCCCACUCAUCAUCCGAGAGAGAGACACCGAGUACCAACUCAUCCGCAUCAUCCUGUUUGACAGGCUGCUCAAGGCCUAUCCUUACAAGAAGAACUUCGUGUGGAAAGAGGCCAGAGUGGAUAUUCCCCCUCUUGUUCGAGGUCUGGCGUGGGCAGCACUGCUUGGCAUUGAGGGAGACAUUCAAGCCAAAUACGAGAGCAUUGACAAGGAUACUCCCAUACCAACUGACAGACAGAUUGAGGUGGACAUCCCGCGCUGUCACCAGUACGAUGAGCUGCUGUCGUCUCCUCAGGGCCACAUCAA